CCUACGGGUGGCAGCAGUGGGGAAUAUUGCACAAUGGGCGAAAGCCUGAUGCAGCAACGCCGCGUGGAGGAUGAAUGCCUUCGGGUUGUAAACUCUUGUCUUCUGGGACGAAAAGACUCCUUCUAAUAAAGGGGGUCCAUGACGGUACCGUAAGAAUAAGCACCGGCUAACUACGUGCCAGCAGCCGCGGUAAUACGUAGGGUGCAAGCGUUAAUCGGAAUUACUGGGCGUAAAGCGUGCGCAGGCGGUUAUAUAAGACAGAUGUGAAAUCCCCGGGCUCAACCUGGGAACUGCAUUUGUGACUGUAUAGCUAGAGUACGGCAGAGGGGGAUGGAAUUCCGCGUGUAGCAGUGAAAUGCGUAGAUAUGCGGAGGAACACCGAUGGCGAAGGCAAUCCCCUGGGCCUGUACUGACGCUCAUGCACGAAAGCGUGGGGAGCAAACAGGAUUAGAUACCCUAGUAGUCAC
rnacentral:rRNA from 1 species